rnacentral:rRNA from 1 species
UACGUAGGGGGGCUAGCGUUGUCCGGAAUCAUUGGGCGUAAAGAGCGUGUAGGCGGCCCGGUAAGUCCGCUGUAAAAGUCAAAGGCUCAACCUUUGAAAGCCGGUGGAUACUGUGAAGCUAGAGUACGGAAGAGGCGAGUGGAAUUCCCGGUGUAGCGGUGAAAUGCGCAGAUAUCGGGAAGAACACCCGUGGCGAAGGCGGCUCUCUGGGACGGUACUGACGCUGAGGAGCGAAAGCGUGGGGAGCGAACAGG